UACGUAGGGUGCAAGCGUUGUCCGGAAUUAUUGGGCGUAAAGAGCUUGUAGGCGGUUUGUCGCGUCUGCUGUGAAAUUUCGGGGCUCAACCCCGAACUUGCAGUGGGUACGGGCAGACUAGAGUGUGGUAGGGGAGACUGGAAUUCCUGGUGUAGCGGUGAAAUGCGCAGAUAUCAGGAGGAACACCGAUGGCGAAGGCAGGUCUCUGGGCCACUACUGACGCUGAGAAGCGAAAGUGUGGGGAGCGAACAGG
rnacentral:rRNA from 1 species